rnacentral:rRNA from 1 species
CAAUAGCGUAUAUUAAAGUUGUUGCGGUUAAAAGCUCGUAGUUGGAUUUCUGCCGAGGACGACCGGUCCGCCCUUUGGGUGAGUAUCUGGCUCGGCCUGGGCAUCUUCUUGGAGAACGUAUCUGCACUUGACUGUGUGGUGCGGUAUCCAGGACUUUUACUUUGAGGAAAUUAGAGUGUUUCAAGCAGGCACACGCCUUGAAUACAUUAGCAUGGAAUAAUAAGAUAGGACCUCGGUUCUAUUUUGUUGGUUCUAGAGCUGAGGUAAUGAUUAAUAGGGAUAGUUAGGGCAUUCGUAUUUAACUGUCAGAGAUGACAUUCUUGGAUUUGUUAAAGACAGACUACUGCGAAAGCGUUUUGCCAAGGAUGUUUUCAUUGAUCAAGAACGAAAAUUAGGGGAUCGAAGACGAUUAGAUACCG